rnacentral:lncRNA from 1 species
CUUCACCCUUACAGUGUCUGAUGACAGAGCUCCUUCUAGUGACACUGGUGCCACCACAGACCCUCUCACUUCCCAACUCCCCUGUCCUUGCUUGGAGACCAUCUUCACCUGCAUCUCCCUCUCCAGGUGCUCAGCCAGCAGGAAGAAUGGGGCCCCAAAAACAGAUAGAGCCAAGAUCCCAAGGUGCUCUCUGUUUGGCUGAGCCUCUGUCUGACUCUCCUUGCUGUUAUACAAAGAAGCUGUGAUGUGAAAACAGAAGUAAAAUGCCAGAAAGACAGACUGUCAUAGGUCUGGCUUCAGUGUCUGUGUUCAGUCCUCUUGACCAGAAAGUAUUUCCUCAACUGGAAUCCAUGAUGUCAUUUGGGGUGAAUUCUAUACCCCUCACUGGCCUUACUUAACCCUCACACCCAGAAUCCCUGUCUGCAACCACAGUUGGCAUCCAGACUAGGAGAUGAGGGCAUCCAGAGCCUUAUACAUACAAUGCAAAGCCUGAGAAACAGCACCAACCAAUGGAACGUCUAAAAUGUUGCUUCGGCAUCUUUUCUGCGACCCCAAGGGUGGCAUAAAACACAUUGGGUUUUGAUACAGAGAACUAUUGGAACAGCUUGUAUUUGAAAAAGGCAAAAACAAGAAAAGCUUGAGUUUACAAGACUCAACAAGAUACAAGAAAAUGUGUGGGGAAAUAAAAAUUAUUUUGUUUGUAGCA